GGCUUGACGUGAGUCUGGCCCGCCAAGUUCGCUUGUGUGUGUGCCGGAUUUCGUCUGCCAUCCUUCUAAGUCCAAGUGCAUGGCCCUUGAUUGGGCUCGUGCUGCUUGAGCUUAGAUCUUUGACUUUGAACAAAUUAGAGUGUUUCAGGCAGGCUGUGUGCUUUGAAUACAUGAGCAUGGAAUCAUCAGAUAGGGCUUCGGCUCUUGUCUGGUUGGUCAACAGAGCUGAAGUC
rnacentral:rRNA from 1 species